ensembl:lncRNA
CCUCUCUUGCAAUCUCGUAGUAGCCCACAGUACACAUUCUUGCUAUCCUUGGAUCAAGGAAACCUAUUUGGGUCUCUGCUCGUCAAUCUCGUAUCUCUGCAGUAGCAUUUCUUGAUGAUAUGAGAGCUAAUAUAGGCGAAUCCCUGCACCAUAGGCGUCACAUCUUCUUGCCAAAGCUGGAUCUCUAUGUAUUUUUGUGAUCGUUGAACAAAACCCAAGAAACCGGGGGCUGCGUGGAAUAACAACGAACAUGACUGCGAUGGGGAAAUUUAAGCAUACCCUGCUUAUUUUUGCAUGUCUGAUUACCGCAGCUAACGGAUCCCCAUUAGCUGAUGAUGUCACGGCAGUCGUCGGUGGAGGAAUAAGUGGACCAAAGCGCAGCGUGUUGCAAGUUUUGGCACAUUCAUUCCGGCAACAUAGCACCCUCCAUUCCACUGCCGGUUUGCGUCUGAAGCUAAGCACGGUCUAUCCUGGUUGGUCCCUGGAUGGGACACCAGACGUAGCUGGAAGUGGUGAAAUUAAAAGUGUGGAGAAAACAAAUUCACAUGGGGAUUUUUUUUUCACUGGUGAAAAAUGUACAUGUGAAACUUCACACAUGUUUGAAAACCACAUCUGACCUGUGAUUUAUUUUUACAUGUGACAUUUUUCACAUGUGAUUUGUUCACACGUGUGUGUUUAAAAAUGUUUUUUUUGUAAUGGUGGUGGGCAUAAAGAACAUUUAUGAAAUUGGUUUUUCUUACUACUAUGCUCUGUGGAUGGC